rnacentral:pre_miRNA from 1 species
AUGCAGAUUGGAUGUUGAUUGGUGAGAGUCGCUGAUGAAAAAUUUCCGCAGAAGGAAAUAGAGAAAAAGUGAGCUUUGUUUUCUUCUGCGGCAAUUUGUGAUCAGCGACUCUCACUAAUCAACAUCCAAUCUGC